GCCUAAUUAGGAGUUCCAAGGAGACUUAGACUAUUUACAUCAUUGGUAUUCUUCUCCACAUGACUUAGUCACACUAAGUACUGAUAUACUACUUGAUGUACUACUUAGCAAUCACCAAGGAAUAUUUAUGUAAGUUAACAGCAAAUUACCCAAUUUAUCUAGCUAUGCUACCUGAACAGAAAGUUUUAUUUCUUACUAGUUUUCUGCCCUUUUGCUCCAAGUAGUUGCUGCAAAACAGAAAGUGCUAUUAUUUUUCGGAAGAGUUUUUUUCUACAACAAGCCCUUUACUGCCCUUGAAUUUGAGUCAGAGGAGCCAAACAGCUGCAGCUGCUCUGAGGGCUUUUAUACCUGGUGGGAUUUGCCCCCUCCCUUUUCCUGGGUGCCAUGGGAACGAGAGGCGGGCACAAUCAGGGGUAUAUUAACCCCAGCCUUGGCUGAGGGGCUUCAUUCCCUCUCCAGGAUGUGCUGGGGUAAGUGCUCUCCUCUCAUUUCAGUGGAGAGGCUCUUUCAGCUAUCUCAGCUUGUUUCCAGCAGGUGUUUCUGGGCAUCUAAAGCAACAGAGGCUUGGAAGAUUCUGUGAAGAAAACAGCAUGGAAUACAGGGAGGAUUUAAGCUUGUGAUUUUGGAUUGCAUAUUGAGGAGUGGUAAGGUGCUUUUGUAAUUUUUGGUUUUGCUCUGUGCUUUUUUUUUUGUGGGUUUUUUGUUUUUUUAGGGGGUUUUUGAUUUUCUUUUUGUUUUGUCUUAUUUUUGGGGUUUUUUGGGGGGAUUUUUGGGGAUUUUUUUGGUUUUAGAGUUUUUUAUUUGUUUUGGGGGGGGUUUUGUGGGAUUUUUUUGUUGGUUUUUUUGUGUGUUUUUUGGACUUCUUUUUUGUUGUUUUUUUGGUUUCUGAGGAGUGCAACUCCCUGAAAUUCCAAGUUGUGUCAAGCACAACAUUUUUUCAGCAGAUUCAUCAUGUCACAAGAGGGAUCUGCCCAGUGUCCAAGAUGAUAUUUGAGAUUGAGGCUUCAGGUGCCAGCCCUAAUAAAGGCCACAGCCUUGGAAUCAGGAUGAAGCUGGAGCCUGAGGGAGCCAGGCACACUCAGGAGAGGCUGACCGAGAGGCUAAUAGGCCAUCACAAGGCCCUCCAAGGCAGACUCUCAUUUCAGGUGCAACGUGGAUCCACAUUACCCAUCAUCCAAAAGAUAAGUUGGGGGCCACGACCUGGAGAUGGGAGAGUAGCAGGUGCAGAUGCAUUGCAUCCAUGGCAGAGGGUCAGAGUUAGCAGGUGCCGGGCAUUCCUAGGAGCACGCUGUCUGAGAGACACCAGCCCGGUGACAGCAGGACCUUCCCAGCUGAUGAGGUGGCCUUUCUUUGCACCUGAUAGGGACCGACAUCCCCAGAUGUCUGAGAGAUAAGUAGAGGGCCAUGACCCACAGAGGGGAUGAAAGCAGGGUGCUGGUUUGGGAAUUACUGGGAGGGGUUUCUGAGUCCAAUUUGGAGGUGGGGGUGUCCAUGAAGUGGCCCCUUAGGCCCCAUAAAAGCAAAGUCUCACUUUUGGUCACAGUGCUGAGGUGUGCAGCAGGGCAGAGCAGUCCCGGUGUGUCUCAUGUCACUUGUCUAUUGUGCAUUAUGUGUUGCUUGGAUAUCUCAUGUCUUUUACCUUAGCCUUUGAGGGGCCUGUCAGAAACCUUGGCAUCAUUGUUAGCAUCUGUGAUCUCUGCAUUCCUUGGCCUGGCACCCAGGCCAUAGAUGUGAUUCUGAUACCUGUCUGAGCUCCUGAGUCAAAAGUUCUCUCUUUGGAAGCAUCCUGUCAGAUGUCUUGUCAGGUCUUGUUCUGAGCUGCAUGGACAGCUAUGCCCCCCACCUGGAUCCAUUAUGGUGGAUUAGGACUUGUAAUAAUAUGAGGUUAGGUAGAGGAUUCUCACCAUAUGAUUCCUAGGCAUCCAUCUUUGCUGUUCUUGGAAUAAAUCAUUCAGUUAGCAUCUUCUUCCUCCA
ensembl:lncRNA